rnacentral:rRNA from 1 species
CGUCGGCAUAUAGUCGCUAGACCGUAGUAGGCAUCGAGCGCUGAAUUUACUUGGAACACUGGCAAAAAUGCUCGUUUAAGCUAUGGAUAGUCGAUGGAAUGGGCCGUACCUGCUCGCAGGUUAUGUCCGUUGCCGUUCGGCCUUUGAAGUCGCGGACGAGUUCUGUGUUCUGGCGUCAGUGGCGUCCGAGACGGUCAACCGUCCGACCCGUCUUGAAACACGGACCAAGGAGUCUAACGUAUGCGCGAGCUAAUGAGUGGAAAACUCAUAAGCGCAAUAAAAGUAAAAGCCGUUUCGGACGGUGCAGGGUACGAUCCUAGGGUAUAAUACACCCAAAGGCGCAGUACCAUCCCAUCCUGAUCGCUUGUCGAUAGGGUGGAGAUUGAGUGUAUACGUUGGGACCCGAAAGAUGGUGAACUAUGCCUGAGCAGAGCGAAGCCAGAGGAAACUCUGGUGGAGGUUCGUAGCGGUUCUGACGUGCAAAUCGAUCGUCAGACUUGGGUAUAGGGCGAA